UACGGGGGGGGCAAGCGUUGUCCGGAAUUAUUGGGCGUAAAGGGCUCGUAGGCGGUCUGUCGCGUCGGGUGUGAAAACUCAGGGCUUAACCCUGAGCCUGCUUCCGAUACGGGCAGACUAGAGGUAUGCAGGGGAGAACGGAAUUCCUGGUGUAGCGGUGAAAUGCGCAGAUAUCAGGAGGAACACCGGUGGCGAAGGCGGUUCUCUGGGCAUUACCUGACGCUGAGGAGCGAAAGUGUGGGGAGCGAACAGG
rnacentral:rRNA from 1 species